CGGAACGGGUGAGUAAUAUAUCGGAACGUGCCCAGUAAUGGGGGAUAGCCCGGCGAAAGCCGGAUUAAUACCGCAUACGACCUACGGGUGAAAGCGGGGGAUCGCAAGACCUCGCGUUAUUGGAGCGGCCGAUAUCAGAUUAGCUUGUUGGUGGGGUAAAAGCCUACCAAGGCGACGAUCUGUAGCUGGUCUGAGAGGACGACCAGCCACACUGGGACUGAGACACGGCCCAG
rnacentral:rRNA from 1 species